rnacentral:rRNA from 1 species
GAUGAACGCUGGCGGCGUGCCUAAUACAUGCAAGUCGAACGAAGCAACUUCGGUGCUUUAGUGGCGAACGGGUGAGUAACACGUAGGUAACCUACCCCAAAGUUGGGAAUAACAGUUGGAAACGACUGCUAAUACCGAAUAAGUAACAAUUAAGACAUCUUAAAGUUAUGAAAGAACCUAAGGGAUCGCUAUGGGAGGGGCCUGCGGCGCAUUAGUUAGUUGGUGAGGUAAAAGCUCACCAAGACAGUGAUGCGUAGCCGGACUGAGAGGUUGAACGGCCACACUGGGACUGAGACACGGCCCAGACUCCUACGGGAGGCAGCAGUAGGGAAUUUUCGGCAAUGGGGGAAACCCUGACCGAGCAACGCCGCGUGAACGAAGAAGCACUUAGGUGUGUAAAUUCUUUUAUAAGGGAAGAAUGGCUAAUGUAGGGAAUGACAUUAGAAUGACGUACCUUUUGAAU